CCUACGGGAGGCAGCAGUGGGGAAUUUUGGACAAUGGGCGCAAGCCUGAUCCAGCAAUGCCGCGUGCAGGAUGAAGGCUUUCGGGUUGUAAACUGCUUUUGUACGGAACGAAACGGUCCGCCUUAAUACGGUGGGCUAAUGACGGUACCGUAAGAAUAAGCACCGGCUAACUACGUG
rnacentral:rRNA from 1 species